rnacentral:rRNA from 1 species
UACGUAGGCAGCGAGCGUUGUUCGGAGUUACUGGGCGUAAAGGGUGUGUAGGCGGUUCUUUAAGUUUGGUGUGAAAUCUCCCGGCUCAACCGGGAGGGUGCGCCGAAAACUGGGGGACUAGAGUGCGGGAUGGGAGAGUAGAAUUCCUGGUGUAGCGGUGAAAUGCGUAGAUAUCAGGAGGAAUACCGGUGGUGUAGACGGCUCUCUGGACCGUAACUGACGCUGAGGCACGAAAGCGUGGGUAGCAAACAGG